rnacentral:rRNA from 1 species
AUUGAACACUGGCGGCAUGCCUUACACAUGCAAGUCGAACGGUAACAGGUCUUCGGAUGCUGACGAGUGGCGAACGGGUGAGUAAUACAUCGGAACGUGCCCGAUCGUGGGGGAUAACGGAGCGAAAGCUUUGCUAAUACCGCAUACGAUCUACGGAUGAAAGCAGGGGACCGCAAGGCCUUGCGCGGACGGAGCGGCCGAUGGCAGAUUAGGUAGUUGGUGGGAUAAAAGCUUACCAAGCCGACGAUCUGUAGCUGGUCUGAGAGGACGACCAGCCACACUGGGACUGAGACACGGCCCAGACUCCUACGGGAGGCAGCAGUGGGGAAUUUUGGACAAUGGGCGCAAGCCUGAUUCAGCCAUGCCGCGUGCAGGAUGAAGGCCUUCGGGUUGUAAACUGCUUUUGUACGGAACGAAAAGACUCUUUCUAAUAAAGAGGGUCCAUGACGGUACCGUAAGAAUAAGCACCGGCUAACUACGUGCCAGCAGCCGCCGUAAAAC